rnacentral:rRNA from 1 species
CCUACGGGUGGCAGCAGUGAGGAAUAUUGGUCAAUGGGCGCUAGCCUGAACCAGCCAAGUAGCGUGAAGGAUGACUGCCCUAUGGGUUGUAAACUUCUUUUAUAAAGGAAUAAAGUGCGGCACGUGUACUGUUUUGUAUGUACUUUAUGAAUAAGGAUCGACUAACUCCGUGCCAGCAGCCGCGGUAAUACGGAGGAUCCGAGCGUUAUCCGGAUUUAUUGGGUUUAAAGGGAGCGUAGAUGGAUUGUUAAGUCAGUUGUGAAAGUUUGCGGCUCAACCGUAAAAUUGCAGUUGAUACUGGCAGCCUUGAGUACAGUAGAGGUAGGCGGAAUUCGUGGUGUAGCGGUGAAAUGCUUAGAUAUCACGAAGAACUCCGAUUGCGAAGGCAGCUUACUAAACUGCAACUGACACUGAUGCUCGAAAGUGUGGGUAUCAAACAGGAUUAGAUACCCGUGUAGUC